CUGGUCCCAAGCUAGAUCUUCGGGAAAAGGGAUCAAGGAAAUGACUAUUCCUCCAAAUAAAAUGCUGCACAUCUUUCAUGGAUUCUGGUCCACCUCGUCCUCACGCGGGGAUGCAGACUGACAAGCUUCCACCAUGAAGGGUUGUCAUUUGCCAUAGCAGGGAGAGGAAAAUGGAGCAAAUCAGUCACCAGCUCGUCAUACAGAAGAGUGUCCCACGUCAUAUCUGCUGAUAUGUUAUGGCCAAAGUACAUGACUAUCUCCAAGGAGCUGAGAGGUGAAAUUCGGACAUUUGUCUGGACGGAGUAGAACCAAGAGAGUCGUAAACAUCCUGUGGACUACACACCGUUUAACAAGAUG
rnacentral:lncRNA from 10 species